rnacentral:rRNA from 1 species
AUUGAACGCUGGCGGCAGGCCUAACACAUGCAAGUCGAACGGUAACAGGAAACAGCUUGCUGUUUCGCUGACGAGUGGCGGACGGGUGAGUAAUGUCUGGGAAACUGCCUGAUGGAGGGGGAUAACUACUGGAAACGGUAGCUAAUACCGCAUAACGUCGCAAGACCAAAGAGGGGGACCUUCGGGCCUCUUGCCAUCGGAUGUGCCCAGAUGGGAUUAGCUAGUAGGUGGGGUAACGGCUCACCUAGGCGACGAUCCCUAGCUGGUCUGAGAGGAUGACCAGCCACACUGGAACUGAGACACGGUCCAGACUCCUACGGGAGGCAGCAGUGGGGAAUAUUGCACAAUGGGCGCAAGCCUGAUGCAGCCAUGCCGCGUGUAUGAAGAAGGCCUUCGGGUUGUAAAGUACUUUCAGCGGGGAGGAAGGGGGUAAAGUUAAUACCUUUGCUCAUUGACGUUACCCGCAGAAGAAGCUCCGGCUAAGUCCGUG